rnacentral:lncRNA from 1 species
AUUCAUCUGCAAAAUUUGAUCCCAUGAACAGGCAUCUGGAGAAAGCUUCUUAUGUUGGCAACAUACUUACAGAGUCAGAAGCUGGUCACCUUCAAGUUAUUUCCCUCCUCUAGAAUGCUGUACUUCCACCACUGCCAAAUCGUGAACUUUCUCUCCUUCAAUAUCCCACUGAGAACUCACCCCCAGGAUGGGACUCUGCUCACCCCGUCCUCUACUCAAGCAGAAGCCUCUCAGCGAUCAUGUAUUUUUCCAUGUGUUUAUCCUGUCUCCAUUAAUUUGUAAUCUUCCAGAGGGCAAGGCCUGAACACAAGCUUCUGUUGGUGUAAAGUGGAGGCACAGGCUGCAGGACUGUCUCAGAAGGGAAAUAAUAUUUACCUUCCAAACUGAGAUCUAAAACCCGAACAAAGCCUCAGGAAACAUACUCCACCACCAUCUUACAAGUUUGUGCUACGGGUGGAGGGAAAAUGAAUCUAAUGUAGGAGGCCUCCCGCUGUGCGUCUAGCAGGAAAGACCAUACGGUGCAAGUCUCCAGGAUCACUAGAGGGGUGGAUUGUUCAUUUCAGUCCAGGUAGCAACAGGAAGCCCGUGCAAAUGUUCCUCUCUCACUGCGGGGCUAAGGAGUGUGGGUCCUUUCCCGCGACUACCUGCUUGCCUCUCUCAGAACCUGCAAGUGAAGUGCGGAAGAUCUGUCUAUCUUCUCGGCGGCGCAGAGCCCAAGGUAGAAACCGAUGGAGGCGGUGCACUAGAUAACAUCAAAGCCCCGGGCAGGGGCCAGAAAGGGGGGCACAGGCAGCCCGGGGAAUGAAGCGCCUCCCUCUAGCAUUUCCUCUCACGCCCACUUCCAACCUAGGAGGCUUUUGGUUUCUGCUUUUUUGUUUUUAAAAUUAAAAGUUAAACCCAGGAAGCUUUGGAUCAGAC